CAGUCGCCACGGGAAUACGGAGGGCGCGAGCGUUACCCGGAUUUACUGGGCGUAAAGGGCGUGUAGGCGGCCUGGGGCGUCCCAUGUGAAAGGCCACGGCUCAACCGUGGAGGAGCGUGGGAUACGCUCAGGCUAGAGGGUGGGAGAGGGUGGUGGAAUUCCCGGAGUAGCGGUGAAAUGCGCAGAUACCGGGAGGAACGCCGAUGGCGAAGGCAGCCACCUGGUCCACUUCUGACGCUGAGGCGCGAAAGCGUGGGGAACAAACCGGAUUAGAGACCCGUGUAGUCCCUGUCUCUUAUAC
rnacentral:rRNA from 1 species